CACCGCGGUUAUACGAAAGACCCCAGUUGAUAGCUACGGCGUAAAGGGUGGUUAAGGAAGUAAGAUAAUAAAGCUAAAGAUUUCCCAAACUGUCAUACGCCCCCGGAAACACGAAACCCAAAUACGAAAGUAGCUUUAAAUUAAUACACCUGACCCCACGAAAGCUAAGAAACAAACUGGGAUUAGAUACCCCACUAUGCUUAGCGCUAAACCCAGAUGAUAAACUACAAAUACAUCCGCCAGGGUACUACGAGCACAGCUUAAAACCCAAAGGACUUGGCGGUGUCUCAGACCCACCUAGAGGAGCCUGUUCUAGAACCGAUAACCCCCGUUAAACCUCACCACUUCUAGCCCUGCCCGCCUAUAUACCGCCGUCGUCAGCUUACCCUGUGAAGGCCCAACAGUAAGCAAAAUGGGUUCACCCAAAAACGUCAGGUCGAGGUGUAGCGUACGAAGUGGAUAGAAAUGGGCUACAUUUUCUAUAAAUAGAAUAUACGAAUAGCGCCCUGAAACGGGCACUUAAAGGUGGAUUUAGCAGUAAAAAGCAAAUAGAGAGUCCUUUUGAAUUAGGCUCUGAGACGCGCACACACCGCCCGUCACUCUCCCCCAGACUACCAAUUAAAUAAUUCAUAAUAACAGAAUCACCCACACGGGGAGGCAAGUCGUAACAUGGUAAGUGUACCGGAAGGUGCACUUGGAAUAAUCAGAGCGUGGCUGAG
rnacentral:rRNA from 1 species